rfam:Ornithorhynchus anatinus chromosome X1, whole genome shotgun sequence.
AGCAGCGUGGCUUAGUGGAAAGAGCCCGGGCUUGGGAGUCAGAGGUCAUGGGUUCUAAUCCCCUCUCUGCUG